rnacentral:rRNA from 1 species
UACGUAGGGUGCGAGCGUUGUCCGGAAUUAUUGGGCGUAAAGAGCUCGUAGGCGGUUUGUUGCGUCUAUCGUGAAAACCUGCGGCUUAACUGUGGGCUUGCGGUGGAUACGGGCAGACUUGAGUUCGGUAGGGGAGACUGGAAUUCCUGGUGUAGCGGUGAAAUGCGCAGAUAUCAGGAGGAACACCGGUGGCGAAGGCGGGUCUCUGGGCCGAUACUGACGCUGAGAAGCGAAAGCAUGGGGAGCGAACAGG